AAGCUGAGGCCAAAAAUACGAAGCUCUAUCUAUAAUCGUUUUAUCAAACUAACUUAGUAAACAAAUGUAGUAUUUAGAGAAAGUAUUUGUGCUUAUUAAAAUCAAUUUAAUACGUAUCUGAUAUGCCGAAUAAUACUGAGACACCAAAUGUACAAGUUAACCCUACAUUGAGAACGAGAUUAAUAUUCCUCCAACAACAGUAUGUAAAUAAAAUGAAAGAACUCGGUGAUCUUAAGAUUGAAUGUUUAAAAGACGAAAUUGACAAUAAAAAAAUGUUGAUGGGCUUAGAAAAAAUUAAAUGUAGUUUGGAAAACAAGUUAGAGAAUGUGUCAGAUAUUAGACGAGUAUAGUGUCGAAUUAUUGAAAUAUACAAUAAUUUCCAAACAAAAGUGUUUUAUUGGAAAAAAUACAAAUAUUUAAAAUGUACCUGAAGAACGGCAGUCAAAAAUCCAGUGGGAAAAGUAUAGGCGGCUAACCAAAAAAAUAAUGGAGGUCGCAGUGUUUUCGCCCAUGCAGUAAAAUGUUCUACUCUAGCUACAAGAUCUCUGGUCCAAUUACCCAAUAACUUUAACGAAGGAUACGCUGAAAUAGAUGAUAAAAUAAAAUCAUUACAAUGUCCAAUGAUGAUGAUAUUUGAUGCUAACAGUGACAAUGAAAACUCAACUUGCAUUUUCAAAAAUAUAUCAAGAACAAUCUACAAAAGUAUCCAAUCCCUAAUGAUUGAAACUAAAACUGAAGACCGAGCUCCGUCUUAUCAUGUUGUAGGCAUCUACAGUAAAAGAUUUUAUACUAAGAGCAACCAAAGAAGCUGCAAGUUGAGCAGGAUGACAACCUAAAGGAAACAACCCAGAAAAUCUCAUUCUGAACCUGAUUCUCUUGAAAAACGUUGUCAAUAUCCAUUAUCAGUUGUUGUGGUGUACAAUUAUGCAAACAAAUCUUCAAUUCAUAAAAUCCACAAAAUCACCCAUUUCCAAAUCAUCACAGUAGUCCUGGACCAAAGAAUGAAGUUCCAAGGUUUACUUGACUCCCUAAUGGACGAUUCAAGCUAGAACUGAAGACCAAGAGUCAUUUUAACAGAAUCAACCUCAUCCUCGUUAUAAGAUCAAUGUUUACUUGGACUACUUAGUGUAUGAUUCAAGCUGGAACUGAAGAACAUCCACUACCAAACCUAGCACUAGAACUAAAAACUAAUUUUAUAGCCAUAAUUGAGUAUUAAAUGUGAAUUUUACCUGUUAACCAGGUUGGAGGUACUCUCCCAUCGUAUAUGCAAUCAAAUAUUUCUUCCAAUUCCGAAGACAUAACAACUAAACCCAAUAUUCCUUUUCCUAGAUUUUCCAAAGAUGAUUGAAUUCUCAACAAUAACACAUUGUAUCUAAAAACAUUUUGGAAGUACUAAAAAAUUAACUAUAACAAUAUGACUCGAUACCUUUGAAUUUCUUGUAGUAGCACUACAUCCAAAGGAGUUUUCGUAGCUCCCAUCAACUUCUCGGUAUGUUCGUAAUCAAUUAUAUUCGGUAAUUUCAAUAAUACAUCUUCGGCUAAUUCGGAUACUCUUUCUUCUUUAGAUUUAUCGCUUCCGGAAACGGCUUGAACUUGUAGCGACAUCAAAGUUUCAAACAACAUCCUGGAUUCGCUUAUCAAUGAAGUGAUAUCAGCAUUGGGGUGUUGACCGAACGCUUCCGGUCUAUCCACAUUCGGUAAAAGGGUGAUGUAGUCCAAAUAUGAUUGAAUCGAACCAUCUCGUGGUACGUAGUAGGUGGAUAACGAUGAUAACCUUAAAAAAAUAAAUUAGUAAUUAUAUCUUUUGUAUUAUCCUGUAUAUCAUCUAUAAUAGAAGUCACAAUGUAUAUAUAAACAUGUGUUCUAUUUUAUCUAUCAAAAUUGUUUAGGAUGAGAGAAGAUGUGGUAAUAUACUGUGUGUAUUUGAAAAAUUAUUCAAUAUGUACAAUACAGUGUGAUACCUGAAAUAAGCUACGUUCAAGCAAUCGUCGCAGAAAUACUGAUUUAUAUAGGUUGUCAAUAAGCGUCUGUCCCAAUCAUCGGUUACAUGUCCACCAUAACUUACACCGGCAAUUAAAUACUUUAGAGCGUCCCAAGGGGUGGUUUGGUAUUCGUUUAAAUAUAUAGUCAGGAGGUUUUCUGAUACCUAAAAUGAAAUAUAAGUACCAGAAAUAUACAGAAAAAAGAAGGAAAGGAGAGAAAAACAUAGAAUAAUAUAGUAGUAAACAGAAACCCAAAUUAGAACAAGGAUCAGUUAAAAAUUAAGAUAGGGAUGUGAAUGACAGAAAUGCAAACUAGGACAAGUAUCAGGAAAGCAAUUGAGAUGAAAAAGUGAACAAAGAGAAAUGGAAUAAGAGAAACAUAUAGAGGAACACAGGAGAAGAUGGGAGUACAAACUAGGACAAGGAUCUGAAAGAAAUCAAAAUAGAAACGUAAAGAAAAAUAAAGAUAGAGAUAAAAACAUAGGAAUAGGAAGAAAUACAAAAUAGGACAAGUAUAAGAAAAAAUAAAGAUAAAACGGCAAAAAAGAUGAAAAAAAUGUAAAUCAAGAUAGAAAUAUAAAGAGAGGAGAGUAAACAUAAAGGAAUAUUGGAGAAGACACAAGUACAAAUUAGGAUAAGUUAUAGACAAAAUUCAUGAUAGAAAGAGGAAGAGAAGUAAGAAAAAUAGAAAGGAAUGCAGAGAAAGACAGUUAUUGGAAAGGAUUGAGAGGAAUACAAAGGAAGGCAGAAACACAAACUAGGAGUAAAUGUAAAGAGAGAAGAAGGUAAGAUAAGAAAGCAUGAUGGAAGACAGAAAUGCAUACUAGGUCAGGUAUUAGAAAAAAA